UUUGUUCUUCCUUUAACCAUUUCUAAUUUUUUAGGGUUUUUUGUUUUGUUCUUCCUGUUGUGUUGUGUUGUGUUGCGCCAUUGAAUUUAAUGCUAUUUUAUCCUAUUCACAUAUCAAUUUUUAUUUCCAGCAAUUGAAACCUUGGUUUUCUCCUUAUUGUUUUUGAAUAUGAUUGUGCAAUUUGGUUUUCUAGGAUUUUACUGUAAGAGGGUACUCAGAGAAAUUUUGAAACACUAAUGUUUGAUAUAUUUGGGUUUCCCCUGUUGUGGCCUCCCUUUCAACCAAACAAGUCCAAAAUUUCUAUUUCAUUACUUUCUCUAACAAGGUUACUGAAUAGAGUUACUUUGAUUUGGGAUUUUGAAAUUGUUUAAUCUUUAUGUUUUUUAUGUUUGGUGAUCACAUUUAUGACUGGAUAACUGCUUCUUGCGAGAUGCCAACGAAUAUUGAAGAUGACUACAAAUUGUCUAUGUAAAAAAAAUGGUGAAGCUGUGUCCAUAUCAUGUAGACUUUGAUAUCUGAAAUGUAGCAUAAAGUGGAACCAAAUGAAGUUGAAUGGUGGGGCUGAGCAACAAAAAAGAGGUACUUGGGUUCAAAACCAGGAAGCGGUUGAGC